CUCUGUGUGGGGAACAUGAGAGCCAGACCAAAGCUCAGAGGAACCAACCUGGAGCUGAACCCAGCUGUGUGUCCUUAAAGAGUGAUGGAUCAAAAGCGAAUAUUUUAGAUUUUCAAAAAGCAGCAUCAAAUAAUGCAGAACCAGAUUUUUCUGGAGCUGAAUCUAGCUGUGUGUCCUUAAAAAGUGACUCGUCAAUGUAUAUCCCUGUAGGUUUUAAGGAAGGACACCAUUCGGUUGCAGAAAGAGUGGACCAGGAAAGCUCAGAGGUUGCCAGAGAUCAGUCUGACCGGGAGAAUCAUGCACAUCUGGACUCCAUAUUUAGGGUCUGUACAGGGUGUGAGGGUUACUCAGACCAUGGCUCAGAUUGGUGGGUGAAUGGGAUGUGGGGAUGUGCCUGUGAAGGUUCUCAGUC